rnacentral:rRNA from 1 species
GCAUUCAGUUGCCAUCGGUAAGGCCGGGCACUCUGGAUGGACUGCCGGCGACAAGCCGGAGGAAGUGGGGACGACGUCAAGUCAUCAUGGCCCUUAUGUCCAGGGCGACACACGUGCUACAAUGGCCGGCACAACGGGAAGCGAAGGGGCGACCCUGAGCGGAUCCCACAAAAGCCGGUCUCAGUUCGGAUUGCAGUCUGCAACUCGACUGCAUGAAGUUGGAAUCGCUAGUAAUCGUGGAUCAGCCAAGCCGCGGUGAAUACGUUCCCGGGCCUU